rnacentral:lncRNA from 1 species
GAAAUUUUGACACAAGGUUUAUGACCACAAAAGGAAGGUUGGGAUUGAUUUUGGGAGUUUUGGUUCCAACAGUUUAGGAAUUAAGGGCCAAAAAAGGGCCCAAAUAAGCAUUAUUCUUGGUUUUCGCACAAUAACUUUAGUAUAAGUAAAUAGAAAUCAAUGAAAUUUUAACACAAGGUUUAUGACCACAAAAGGAAGGUUCGGAUUGAUUUUUGGAGUUGAGGUCAUAACAGUUUAUGAAUUAGGGGCCAAAAAGGGGCCCAAAUAAGCAUUAUUUUGGUUUUGCACCAUAACUUUAGUAUAAGUAAAUAGAAAUCUAUGAAAUUUAAACACAAGGUUUAUGACCAUAAAAGGAAGGUUGGGUUUGAUUUUGGGAGUUUUGGUCCUAACAGUUUAGGAAUAAGGGGCCCAAAGGGUCCAAAUUGAACUUGUGUGAUUUCAUCAAAAAUUGAAUAAUUGGGGUUCUUUGAUAUGCCGAAUCUAACUAUGUAUGUAGAUUCUUAAUUUUUGGUCCCGUUUUCAAAUUGGUCUACACUAAGGUCCAAAGGGUCCAAAAUUAAACUUAGUUGAUUUUAACAAAAAUUGAAUCCUGGGGUUCUUUGAUAUGCUAAUUUAAAAAUGUACUUAGAUUUUAUACGACCGCAAAAAUUUUAAUUUUUCGUCGUAUAUUGCUACCACGUUGGCGUCGUCGUCGUCGUCCGAAUACUUUUAGUUUUCGCACUCUAACUUUAGUAAAAGUGAAUAGAAAUCUAUGAAAUUUUAACACAAGGUUUAUAACCACAAAAGGAAGGUUGGGAUGAUUUGGGAGUUUUGGUCCCAAAAUUUUAGGAAUUAGGGGCCAAAAAGGGCCCAAAUGAGCAUUAUUCUUGGUUUUCGCACUAUAACUUUAGUUUAAGUAAAUAGAAAUCUAUGAAAUUUUUACACAAGUUAUGACACAAAAGGAAAGUUGGGAUUGAUUUUGGGAGUUUUAGUUCAAACAGUUUAGGAAUUAGGGGCCAAAAAGGCCAAAUAAGCAUUAUUCUUGGUUUUCACACAAUAACUUUAGUAUAAAUAAAUAGAAAUCAAUGAAAUUUAAACACAAGGUUUAUGACCACAAAAGGAAGAUUGGGAUUGAUUUUGGGAGUUGAGGUCUGAACAGUUCAGGAAUUAGGGGCCAAAAAGGGACCCAAGUAAGCAUUAUUCUUGGUUUUCGCACCAUAACUUUAGUAUAAGUAAAUAGAAAUCUUUGAAAUUUAAACACAAGGUUUAUGACCAUAAAAGGAAGGUUGGUUUGAUUUUGGGAGUUUUGGUCCUAACAGGUUUUUAGGAAUAAGGGGCCCAAAGGGUCCAAAAUUGAACUUUGUUUGAUUUCAUCAAAAAUUGAAUAAUUGGGGUUCUUUGAUAUGCCGGAUCUAACUGUGUAUGUGAAUUCUUAAUUUUUGGUCCCGUUUUCCAAUUGGUCUACAUUAAGGUCCAAAGGGUCCAAAAUUAAACUUAGUUUGAUUUUAACAAAAAUUGAAUCCUUGGGGUUCUUUGAUAUGCUGA